GCGAGGUAAUCUCGCGAGAUUACACGAGACUGGACUGUUUUAACGGCUGUCUGCGAGAUCUUGCGUAUCACACGAGAAAAUGCUUCAGAGAAAGAAGAGAGCCCUUCAAAUUAGAAUAGUGAUGAUGAUCUUGUCAAUGCUGAGAUUUUCAUGCAUCAACAGCCACUACAUCUGGAUCAGAUUGAACAAGAAACAGACAGCAAGGGUUGUCAGGUCAGAAACAGAAUGACACACAAACACAAGAAACU